AAUGAUAUAUAUUAAUUAAUAUAAAAUAAUAAAAAAAAUUUUAAAUUUGUGUAAUUGAUUAAAGUAUAUUUUUAGAAAAAAUUAAAAAAUUUAUAGUGAAUUAGUAUUGAAAAAGAAUUAUGAAAUAAUUGAAAAUAAAUAUUUUUAAAAGUAAAUUUAGUUUAUUGUAUCUUGUGCAUCAGAGUUUAUUAAUAAGAAUUUUUUUUUUAUAAAAUUUCUCGAAUUAAAAAGAUCUAUUAAAUUAAGAAAUUUAUUGUUGCAAAAAUAUUUUUAAUAAUUUAAUUGAAAUGAAAUGUUAAUCGUUUUUUAAGAUAUCUAGUUUUUUUAGAAAAAUAUUUAAUUUUGAAUUUUGAAAAUAAAAUAAUUUAUUUUUAAGUUAUUUUAUUUAUAAUUUAUAUAUUUUAAGGGAUAAGCUUUAAAAUAAAAAUUUAUAAGUUAAAUUUUAAUUUAAGAUUUUUAUAAUUUAUAUUGUUAAAUAAAUUUUAAUUUAUUAUAAAUAAUUUUAAUAAAAGAAAAAUUUAAAUAUUUCUUUAAUUUUUUAUAAAAAAAAAUAAUUAAAUUAUUUUUUUAUAAUUAUAAUAAUAAAAUUAGUAUAUAAAUUUUAAUUAAAAGUUAAUUAAUUAAUAAUAGUUAAUUUUGACGAAUUCGGCAAAAUUAUAUUAAUUAUAUCCGCCUGUUUAUCAAAAACAUGUCUUUUUGAAAAUAAUUUAAAGUCUAAUCUGCCCACUGAUAAAUAUUAAAGGGCUGCAGUAUUUUGACUGUACAAAGGUAGCAUAAUCAUUAGUCUCUUAAUUGGUGUCUUGUAUGAAUGAUUGGACGAGAUAUAAACUGUUUUUUUAUUAUUUAUAGAAUUUAAUUUUUUUAUUAAAAAGUGAAAAUAAAUUUAAAAGACGAGAAGACCCCAUAGAGUUUUAUAAAAUAAUUAAUAAAAAAUUUUUAUUUAAGUUUAAUAUUUUAAUUAAUUAUUUUAUUUUAUUGGGGUGAUAAAAAAAUUAAAAAAACUUUUUUAAAAAAUUUCCAUUGAUAAUUGAAUUUAUGAUCCAUUAUUAUUGAUUAAAAGAAAAAAUUACCUUGGGGAUAACAGCGUAAUUUUUUUUUUUAGUUCAAAUAGGAAAAAAAGUUUGCGACCUCGAUGUUGGAUUAAGAUAAAAUUUAAGCGCAAAAGUUUAAAAUUUUGAUCUGUUCGAUCAUUAAAAUCUUACAUGAUCUGAGUUCAAACCGGUUUAAGCCAGGUUGGUUUCUAUCUUUAAAAAAAUAAAAUAUUUUAGUACGAAAGGAUUUAAUAUUUAAAAUAAUUUUAUAAUUAAGAAUUUUAGUAAAAUAUAUUUAAAUGAAAUAAAGCUAUUAAUUU
rnacentral:rRNA from 1 species